rnacentral:snRNA from 1 species
AACUUUCACAGUGGCAGUAUCAUAGCCAAUGAGGUUUAUCCAAGGCACAAUUAUUACUAAUUGAAAAUUUUUCCCGAUACUCCACCAUAUGACUUGCAAUAUAGUCAGCAUUGGCAAUUUUUGGCAGUCCCUAUGGGA